AGCUUCAGUGUGUGAGUGUAGCUCAGUGGUGAGGUUGGUGAGCAGCUUACGUCCCUGCCCCUCCUCUCUCUCUCUCGCUCGCUUAGUUCUCUCCUCAUCCCUCACAAUACAAGUCAGCUACCUUGGCUAGUCUACGUGAGGAGGCUUCGGCAGGAGUUAAAAAAAAAUCCCCCUUCGUCGGUACAAUUCCUCAACGGAGAGACAAAAAAACAUAAGGUAAAAUUCAAAUAAUAAUAUUGGGUUAACUUUCUUUAACUCUUUUACGUAAUCGAUAAUAAGGAAUUUCAUCAUUAACCCCCCCCACCCCCCCCUCGUCUCCCUCCACGUGUCAGACAAGACAACAGCAGAGAGAGAGAGAGAGAGAUUUGAUAAUUAUAACAAACUUAGAAAAUUAAGAAAACAUGAACUAGAAACGAGACAGUGGGAACUUUAAGAUACGUGUACAUAAACAAGGAUAAUUGUGACUACUUACGGCGUUUAGUUCUGCAAGCAAGAAAGUCACAUAAACGACUAGAUUAACUUCUACAUUUGUCGCUUUAUAGAGAAACGACAACUGAAAGAAAGAGAACAUCCUUUGGGGGAAUAAAUUAGUGGUUGUAGGAUGUUCUGAGGAUUAGGAUCACAGAUUAAAGGAUACAAUACCCUACACUUAUAGGGAUCUGAAGGGUCUUAUAUCAAGGUCUUAUAUCCGUUUAUCUGUGUAUAACAAGAUCAAGUUUAUCUACACAUGACUGAGAGAAGAGCCAGCACCGGUAUGGACUGACUACUAAUUGAAAGAAUGGCCGUUGUAGGAGACGGACACUAGAACGCAGUAGAGUGAGCGUGGCGGCGUCCGGUAGAACGCAUGAGUGUCACCGACAACAAGGCGAAUGAUCACAAGAGACCACACAGGCACGGCAGCACCGGGAGCCGCAGGUCCGCCCUCGCCCGCAAGCUUAGCCGCGGCUCUGUGCAGGACUCCUCCCACGCCUCCGUAGAUGCCCACUCACAGCACUCCAACAACCCCGCUAAGG